GAGGCUCUCACUGAUGACCUACCAGAUCUUGACACAAGGGCUGCACUUUUAUUCCUGCCAUACGUCUUCAAGGAGAAACUGGAUCUCUUUGUCAUACUUGGAGAGGUUCAUCCUAAAACCCCCUAUCCAACUGUUCAGCUACUUCAUGAAGACUGGAAACCAGUGUUCUCCAGAAGCGCUC